rnacentral:sRNA from 1 species
AGCUCUGCUGGAGAGACCUGAGGCUUGCAUCGCUGGGCCCGGCCGGGUCGCUGCGGCUGGGCUGGAGGUGAGGCGAAAGAAGGGCAUCCUCUGAUGGGAGUGGACCGGAGUCCGCUAAAGCGAAGCAUUCCAGGGUCAAGGAUGCAUUCCAGGAAAGUUCUAUAAAAAUAUACCAUCAACUCCAACCUGAUAUUUGACCUAGCCAUGGAAAACCUCAUUGGCUCCUCACUGGAUCAGACCAUAAAAAUGAUCCAGGAAUGAAAAUCUAAGAUAAAUUCCCACCACUUCAAGAUGUUCUUAUACAAGUCAACAGUCUAGCAGAUCAGCCAGUCUCUUUCAUCAUCAAGCAGACAUACUCAAGAAAGAGGAAUAGUGAAGUGAAAUACACAGAAGCAUGUUCAAGUUCAUCUGUUGAAUCUGGAAUUGUGAAUAGUGACAAUAUUGAGAAAAAUACUGACUCCAAUCUGCAAACUUCAACUUCAUUUGAGCCACAUUUCAAAAAGAAAAAAAAGAAAAAUUUGAAACAUUAAGGGAAAACAGUUGGGUAAAAGAUCCAUUUGCUUUUCGAAACCCUGAAU